ACUCAGGGAGGUAGUGACCAGAAAUAACGACGACGGGUUUCGAUUCGUCGAUUGCAAUGAGCACAAUGUAAAAUUCUUAGCGAGUACCGACUGGAGGGCAAGUCUGGUGCCAGCAGCCGCGGUAAUUCCAGCUCCAGUAGCGUAUAUUAAUGUUGUUGCAGUUAAAAAGCUCGUAGUUGGACGUCUCUGCGACACGCAGCUCCGCCACGCAACUGGGCACGCUCUUAACUGAGCGGCCGAGACCUGCGGGCCCUUUACCUUGAGGAAACUAGAGUGUUUAAGGCAGGCUCCGCCUGAAUACUGCAGCUGGGAAUAAUGCGCACGACUGUCUUGGCGAGGCAGCUCCACACUUUUAAUAGGAACAGUUGGGGGCAUUCGUACUCAGCAGUCAGAGGUGAAAUUCUUGGAUUUGCUGAAGACGGACUAGUGCGAAAGCAUUUGCCAAGGAUGUUUUCAUUAAUCAAGAACGAAAGUUAAGGGAUCCAAGACGAUCAGAUACCGUCCUAGUCUUAACCAUAAACGAUGCCGACUAGGGAUCGGGAGAGACGUACACACUCUCUCGGCACCUCACGAGAAAUCCAAGUCUUUGGGUUCUGGGGGGAGUAUGGUCGCAAGACUGAAACUUAAAGGAAUUGACGGAAGGGCACCACAAGGAGUGGAGCCUGCGGCUUAAUUUGACCCAACACGGGGAAACUUACCAGGUCCAGACAUAGUGAGGAUUGACAGGUUGACAGCUCUUUCUUGAUCCUAUGGGUGGUGGUGCAUGGCCGUUCCUAGUUGGUGGAGUGAUCUGUCUGGUUAAUUCCGAUAACGAACGAGACCUCAGCCUGCUAACUAGAUCUUCUUAGAGGGACUUCCUGCUCGCACAGGAGGAAGUGAGGCAAUAACAGGUCUGUGAUGCCCUUAGAUGUCCUGGGCCGCACGCGCGCUACACUGACGCAACCUGCCAGUUCCAAGCCCGAACCGGCCUGGCAAACUGCCAACUGCGUCGUAGUUGGAACUGACCCUUGCAAUUCUUGGUCACGAACCAGGAAUUCCUAGUAAGCGCAAGUCAUCAGCUUGCACUGACUAAGUCCCUGCCCUUUGUACACACCGCCCGUCGCUCCUACCGAUUCCGAGUGAUCAGGUGAACCUCUCGGACCCUGGAAGUUAAGUGAACCUUAUCACUUAGA
rnacentral:rRNA from 1 species